rnacentral:rRNA from 1 species
AUUGAACGCUGGCGGCAGGCCUAACACAUGCAAGUCGAACGAGUGGCGGACGGGUGAGUAAUGUCUGGGAAACUGCCUGAUGGAGGGGGAUAACUACUGGAAACGGUAGCUAAUACCGCAUACCAUCAGAUGUGCCCAGAUGGGAUUAGCUAGUUGGUGGGGUAACGGCUCACCAAGGCGACGAUCCCUAGCUGGUCUGAGAGGAUGACCAGCCACACGGGAACGGAGACACGGCCCGGACUCCGACGUGAGGCAGCAGUGGGGAAUAUUGGGCAAUGGGCGCAAGCCUGCCGCAGCCAUUCCGCGUGAAUGAAGAAGGCCUUCGGGUUGUAAAGGACUUUCAGUGACGAGGCGUUACCCGAAGAAGAAGCACCGGCUAACUCCGUGCCAGCAGCCGCGGUAAUAC